rfam:Triticum urartu cultivar G1812 contig414979, whole genome shotgun sequence.
CAAGUACUCCCUCCGUCCGAAAAUACUUGUCAUCAAAAUGAAUAAAAUGGGACGUAUCUAGAUGUAUUUUAGUUCUAGAUACACCCCUUUUUGUCUAUUUUGAUGACAAGUUUUUUCGGACGGAGGGAGUAUUUA